UGCUCACCUUGGCGGGCUGCAUACUAAAAUUGGGAUGAUACAGGGAGGAUUGGCAUGGCCCCUGCACAGCAUGGCAGGCAAAUUCAUAAAGGGUUCAAUGUCUUA